GAUGAACGCUAGCGGCAGGCCUAAUACAUGCAAGUCGAACGGUCCUUCGGGACAGUGGCGGACGGCUGAGUAACACGUAGGUAACAUACCCUAUACUGGGGGAUAACACCGGGAAACCGGUGCUAAUACCGCAUAAGACCCGGGCUGAAAUGCCCGUGUUUAAAGAAUUCAUCGGUAUAGGAUUGGCCUGCGCCUGAUUAGCUUGUUGGUGAGGUAAAAGCUCACCAAGGCGAUGAUCAGUAGCUGGUCUGAGAGGAUGAUCAGCCAGAGUGGAACUGAGAACGGUCCACACUCCUACGGGAGGCAGCAGUAGGGAAUAUUGCGCAAUGGGCGAAAAGCCUGACGCAGCAAACGCCUUGUGGAGGAAGACGCUCCUAGGGGUGUAAACGUCCUGUUUGUUAGCGAAUAAAUUUU
rnacentral:rRNA from 1 species